rnacentral:lncRNA from 10 species
GAAUGUUGAGUGUUUUAGUAAGAAAGAGACGGCAGUCAGCACACCUAAGAAUCAUUUCAGGAUCAUGCCUGGGGACUGAGGGAAAAAUUGGGGAGGAAAACCGAAAGGAAGUCAUACACAUGAAAUAAACAUCAAGUACUCUUCUGCAACUGCUCAAGGCAUCCAUUGUGACACCCUGGCAAUCAGCGCUCCAGGAAGAGGCAGGCACAAACCUGCCUGGGAAUUGUAUAAGAACCUUCCAGCCAUCCAGACAUUCUUCUAUGAACUUACGGAAGACAAGAUAAAAUUCCCGCCUUGGUAUCCACAUGGAAUCCAGGAAACCUGUGCAUCUGAUGGUUUGAUACACCCUUUUGUCAUCAAUUCUUAGUUACUAUGCAUAGUCUACUGAUAAUUGUUCAUUGUGUACUUUUCGUUACUUAAAAUUCUUCAAAUCACCCUAAGACAUUUACUCCAGAGCAAUUGGCCAUGACCUGAAGAUCUACAAGCUCAUACAAACAUCUUCCUACAGCUCGUACAAAGAGUCCUGUGAGAUGCCACCAAUUGUAUCAGAUUCCCCACCUUAGGAAUCAACUCAUAUCUAUAUUAUACCAUCCGGCAGAUGGGAAGAAUUUAAUAAAUGUUUGUUAAAUAAAUGCCUCUCACUAGUUUGAGUGAAACAGAUGGGCCAAAUCAUUUAUCGUUUCUGAUUUGGUGUUGAGGAAUAAACUCAUGUAAUUUCUUUGCAAUACCCAUUGAGCCACAAGUGCAUAUUUAGCCCCUGUUUAUUACAUAGACACUUUGUAGUCUUGAUUAAAUUUACUUUAAUUCUCACAGCACAGUUCUCAAAUUGAUAGCAUUGUCACCGUUUUAAAGAUGAAUAUGUUAAGGCUUAGAAGGAAUAACUGGUUUUCCCUGCCACUUUGCCCCAGCAAAGUAAAAAACCAAAUAAGAGCUUCUACCCUUAUUUCAAAGCACUUUUCAUCAUGAAUGCAUACCCCCA